UUUUCUUGCUUGUAUGCCUGGCUGUCUGCGUGUUCAGUUCGAAGACAAAAAAAGAAGACUGCAAGCCUCAGGAAGAGGGUCUGGAAGCGGCCGACCACCGUGACCACUGCCUUAACCCUGAAGACGAUGAACACGACGUGUACCACUGUGGUGUGCUCCAUGACCACCACUGUCGCGAACUUGGUCACAUUCCGUCAAGACCUCACAUAUAAAAGACCCUCCGAUGGUUCCAAUGGAAACACAAGAACUCCAAUAAAAAUAAGUCAUUCUUUGACUUUUGGGGUUAUUCUAGGUUAAAUUAUACAUAAUUUACUCUAUGAAACCAUUGUAUAGGUUUCAAAUUAUGUAUGAGGACAAAAAUAUAUAUUUUUACUUCAGUGUUGUUUUCUAUUUUAUUUCAAAAACUUGACAGACAAUAAAACUACUAACGUUUUCAUAAAUACAAACUCACUACUUCCUUGAUUGUUUCAUUCAUUUAUACACCGAGAGGUGUAUGACGACUUUUAUUAAGUGGGGAUAAAAGUAAACUCUGAGGAUUUCUGCCUUGAAUAAGACUGACUCCAAUGGAAAUAAGUCACUUUGUCUG